rnacentral:lncRNA from 1 species
GGGGGGACGGCAGUGGUGGGCAGCAGGGACACAGUGUGGGUGCCACAAGGAGUGAUGCCGGGCUGCGGUGGGGACACGGGGGUCCCACAGGCUGGUACAGCUGGGCCCCAGGGGUGGGGACAGGACACCUCCCCACCCAUGCUGGCCCUUCCUUCUCGGUGCUGCAGAAAAUGUGACCGCCCGGAUCCAGGCUCACCCGCCAGUACCCACCAUGUACCACCAGCUGAUACUCUCCUGCGAGGUCACGGGGGACCCCAGCCCCAAGGAGUUCCUGUGGGAGAAGGAUGGACACCAUGACCCCCUGCAGAAAGGCCCUGACAACAUCCUCCUCUUCCCCUCCUUCAACAAGUCGCACUUGGGCACCUACAUCUGCAGGGCCACCGGCUCCCUGGGCACCACCGUGGCCACCUACAACCUGUGGAUAGACGGUAGGGAGGGGACCAAGGGGAUGGCUGGGGACAAGGGUUCUUCCCCUAUUUCCCGCAGCUUGUCCUCACCACCCCGUGCCUGUGCCACCCUGUAUCACAGCCCAC